rfam:Dipodomys ordii contig_45300, whole genome shotgun sequence.
GGUGGCUCAGUGGUAGAACGCUUGCCUUGCAUGCAUGAGGUCCUAGGUUCGAUUCCUCAGCACCA